UGUGGCAGGAGAAUCGCUUGAACCCAGGAGGCGGAGGUUGCAGUGAGCUGAAAUUGCGCCAUUACACUCCAGCCUGGGUGACAGAGACUCCAUCUCAAAAAAAAAAAAA
rnacentral:miRNA from 1 species